rnacentral:rRNA from 1 species
GACGAACGCUGGCGGCGUGCUUAACACAUGCAAGUCGAACGGAAAGGCCCUGCUUUUGUGGGGUGCUCGAGUGGCGAACGGGUGAGUAACACGUGAGUAACCUGCCCUUGACUUUGGGAUAACGUCAGGAAACUGGGGCUAAUACCGGAUAGGAGCUCCUGCUGCAUGGUGGGGGUUGGAAAGUUUCGGCGGUUGGGGAUGGACUCGCGGCGUAUCAGCUUGUUGGUGGGGUAGUGGCAUACCAAGGCUUUGACGGGUAGCCGGCCUGAGAGGGUGAACGGCCACAUUGGGACUGAGAUACGGCCCAGACUCCUACGGGAGGCAGCAGUGGGGAAUAUUGCACAAUGGGCGGAAGCCUGAUGCAGCAACGCCGCGUGCGGGAUGACGGCCUUCGGGUUGUAAACCGCUUUCGCCUGUGACGAAGCGUGAGUGACGGUAAUGGGUAAAGAAGCACCGGCUAACUACGUG